UUGGCCAGGUCUCCUCUUCC
rnacentral:misc_RNA from 1 species